AUACAUGCAGUCGAGCGGACUUUUAAAGCUUGCUUUUGAAAGGUCAGCGGCGGACGGGUGAGUAACACGUGGGCAACCUGCCUGUAAGACUGGGAUAACUUCGGGAAACCGGAGCUAAUACCGGAUAAUAUAAGGAACCUCCUGGUUCUUUAUUGAAAGAUGGUUUCGGCUAUCACUUACAGAUGGGCCCGCGGCGCAUUAGCUAGUUGGUGAGGUAAUGGCUCACCAAGGCGACGAUGCGUAGCCGACCUGAGAGGGUGAUCGGCCACACUGGGACUGAGACACGGCCCAGACUCCUACGGGAGGCAGCAGUAGGGAAUCUUCCACAAUGGACGAAAGUCUGAUGGAGCAACGCCGCGUGAGCGAUGAAGGCCUUCGGGUCGUAAAGCUCUGUUGUUAGGGAAGAACAAGUGCGAGAGUAACUGCUCGCACCUUGACGGUACCUAACCAGAAAGCCACGGCUAACUACGUGCCAGCAGCCGCGGUAAUACGUAGGUGGCAAGCGUUGUCCGGAAUUAUUGGGCGUAAAGCGCGCGCAGGUGGUCCUUUAAGUCUGAUGUGAAAGCCCACGGCUCAACCGUGGAGGGUCAUUGGAAACUGGGGGACUUGAGUGCAGAAGAGGAAAGUGGAAUUCCAAGUGUAGCGGUGAAAUGCGUAGAGAUUUGGAGGAACACCAGUGGCGAAGGCGACUUUCUGGUCUGUAACUGACACUGAGGCGCGAAAGCGUGGGGAGCAAACAGGAUUAGAUACCCUGGUAGUCCACGCCGU
rnacentral:rRNA from 1 species